UUCUAUUCCCUUCCUUUUGGUCAGUUUAGGUCUUGCUUUAGUUUUAUGCCCUGUUUUACCCUCCCGAUUCACGCUUCUGUUUUACCCAAAAUCCACCCUCUUCUGUUUCUUCCUUCUAGCUUUCUUCUCCACUCUCCUCGCCGUCUUCUCCUUCUCUUUUUUACCUCUCUUUGGCAUCACAACGGGACUUAGAACACCGAUCAUAAAGCACCCUCCAUCUCACGUUUUCCGUUCCUCUCCACCGGCGAAACUGGUGAAGUUUUUCUGUUGUGUCCAUGGGAACCGAUAAAGAAGAUACAACCGUCUUCCUAGAUCGUGCUUCUCGAUCAACUAGAGGGAGAAGGAAUCUACAACUCUAGUGUGAAUCAGGGAAGCAUGCAGGUGUGGGAAGCUACCAUCUAGUGUCCUGCUCCUUUAACAACCUCUGGCGUACCAUUCGUGGAUGCUAUUAGUGAGCAAUCAUCAAAUGGUUAUUUGCUUAUUGCUGCAAGUGGAGCACUGAAUCAACAAAGAACAGGAUUAUUUGGAGCCAGAGCUGAAAACCCGAAUCAAGAACUACUUUGAAGGGGAUGAAGAGGCACUCCCUUCAGUUCUUGAAGCCAUUUUGCGGAGAAAGUUGGCUGGGAAGCAUGAAGAGACCGAUGAUGAAUUGAUGGAUGAAUUGGAGGUGCAACCACGAGACGAUGUGGAUGAUGAAGAGUUCGAGUCAGAUUUUGAUAAUUUGUACUCGACUGAUGAAGAGAUACUUGUAAUACUUGCAAUGUUUUUGAUGAAAUAAAGUGUGGAUAGAAAAACUGUCAAUACUUGCAAUGUUUGUCCAUAAUGUUUGUAAAUGAGAAAUGACCCUAGUCUACUUCAUUUCUCAAAGCCAAUUGCUUGCGAUUGCAUGUAAAUGUCACUAGAAAGCUGUUGCUAAGGCUUAAGAAUCUAUUUUAUGAGUCAGUGUUGGUUGUUUCAAGUUCACUUUAAUGUCACUCUGUUUACUGCUUU